rnacentral:misc_RNA from 1 species
UCCGGUUUGUCACCGGCAGUCUCCCUAGAGUUCCCACCAUUAUGUGCUGGCAACUAAGGACAAGGGUUGCGCUCGUUACGGGACUUAACCCAACAUCUCACGACACGAGCUGACGACAGCCAUGCAGCACCUGUCACUCGGUUCCCGAAGGCACUCCCGCAUCUCUGCGGGAUUCCGAGGAUGUCAAAGGCAGGUAAGGUUCUUCGCGUUGCAUCGAAUUAAACCACAUGCUCCACCGCUUGUGCGGGCCCCCGUCAAUUCCUUUGAGUUUUGACCUUGUGGCCGUACUCCCCAGGCGGGGCACUUAGUGCGUUAGCUGCGGCGCGGGAGGAGUCGACACCUCCCACACCUAGUGCCCAUCGUUUACGGCGUGGACUAC